UCAGUGUGAGGGGGUCAUUCGUGGAAAACCGGUAAAAAUACAUUAGAGUUGGGGAUAUCCUAAAUCUUGUGGAGCCCUGAUUCAAACACAAAUAAUAGAUUUGAUUUUAAAUUAAAUAAAUUGAGUGGUGCAUUAAAUUUCUCCAUCGGUGAAGAUCAUUGUUUUUUCUUAAUAUAUAACUAAUAAAUUGAUUGAUCAUUGAUAAAUUACGUUGAUAAAUAAAUAUAUUGUGGGUAUUUAAUUAAUUAUUGUAAUAUCCAUUAAAUGUAACUAGUACUUAAUCAAACGUAGUCCAAUUUGUCAGUAUUGAAAUUGGAACAACGAUGACGUUUUGAACGACUCUUUUAGUCUUUGGUGUCCUGACGGGGAGGUUUCACACCAGUUGAAAGGUUGGCGCUACGCGGCUUUCGUCUCCGGGAUUGUGGGCGCCAUCGGCAUAGCCCUCUACCCGAUAGUCGUAUCUCCGAUGCUUUAC